AAUUUUAAGCAACUUUCCCUGUGGAUUCGAUCCUGUAAGAUACUACAACGCCUGUAUACUUGCAGGUAAAACUGCACUAGAUUUUUGAUUCAUUAAUUUGAGUCAAAGUUUAGUCGCAACAAUAAACCAAGAAAGUCAGAAAUUAACAUAUACCAUCAAUGGAUCUGGAGAUUGCGCAAUCAUGUUAUAUUUUUCACUUCUCUUGGUAGUUGCUAUUUCAAUAUCAACCAUGACGAAAUAGUGGCCUUCAUCACAGAAAACGGUAUUCUACUAGAACCCUUGGAUAUGCAGAUCCAGUGAUGCAUGCUGGUGUAUCCGUUCAUGAAAAAAAUAAUUCACUUAAAAACUGUACCCACUCAGGUAAUGAAUAUCUAGAGCCUUACAAACACUACUUAUCACUGUAAUGAGAUUGGAUACUCACUCAUUCUGAUGAAAACUAUUACCUGAUGCAUACAGCACCAAACAUCAAGGUCCUACUUCCAUAUUAUACAGGUUAUAUAUUCCAAACACAAAAGCCCAUUUAUAUAACCACCUCCCAACCUUUUUAUCAAAACACCCCCAACCUGCCCACACUAUACAUCAAUACAUUGGCAUUUAUAACACUUCCAUUUUCAUAAGGGGAAAAAAACUUACAAAAAUCCCCAAGACCUUCUUCAAAAAACUUGCCCAUAUGAGAGAUGUUAUGCAUAUCCUUGAGUCUCUUGUUGAGACUCCCUACUUAACUCCAACUGUGAUCUCAUGGAAAUUAUUUAUUUGUCAUGCUCAAAAAACUGUUUGUGUAGAUCAGCCAUAUCACCCAAAAAAAGUGCCUCUAGUUUACUAUUGUAUAAGUCUGCAGAUUCCUUGUUCCUUUCAUUCUUCUCGGUAAUACAUUUAAAUGCCUUGUUCUUUUGCAAGAACGGGGUGGGCUCAAGUAUGACUGAGUGGCCCAGCCCUUGGGCAUAGCCACUUUUGAACCCUAACACCUCUUUGAAAACAUCAGCAGCAACUUCAUCAACAUCAUCUUUAGUCUCUUUCCCAUUCAACCUCUCUAGCAUCAGAUUUUGAAAUUUCAUACAAUAGAAGGAAACCAUGAUUUUAGGUCAGCCAUUGCAAUCCAUUAUAUAAAUAGAAAUCAAAAUAAAGAUCAGCUAACUCACAUAAUUGUGUUCACUUGUUGCAUUGAUAAAUUUCCCCUUUUGACUUGACCAGUGUGUAUUUUUGUAAAAUGCAAUCAUAUUCCAUGCAUUCUCACCCUUCAAGUAAAAUUUAUAUUAAUUAAGGCUCAAUCCCUUUUAUCAAAACAUGCCACACUCACUUUAAACACUACAUAUCUUACCCUUUCUUCCAUAAGCCUAACAAAAUAUUUUCUCCCACAUGUAUGUUUAAUCUUCUAUUUUUGCCUAUUAUUACUGUUCCUAUGAGACUACUCUUGAAAAUUUACAAAAUAAAUAUUGUCAUGCACUUACACUUAUGUACUCAAUACCUCAACGUAACUAAAUAUAUAUAGAUGACAGAUAUAAAAGGAAAAAAUAACAAUAUAUGCACAGUUUUCCCAUCAUGAUUAUAACACUAGUCAUACUUACCUUGAAUUUUCAGCUGGCCCACAUUUGACGUAGCCACUCCCAAACAUGUGGCUCUGCCAAUGACUUCCGACCAGCUAGUGCCUCCUCAUGCGAAGCAUAUUUCUUGUAGUGCUUGUGUAGUUCAUAAUGAUGAGGUAUCAACUAUGGGAUCCUCCUCAUCACUUAGGCUUCUUGUCAGAGGCACCAAAUCUGGAACUUUAUCAAUAGGGCUUGAUACUAUGAGUGGAUGUCGAAGUCGAGGUAAACCCCUUUGUCCUCUUCUUCCGGAUAUCACCAUUAAUACCUACAAUGUAUAUUCCUAUAAUUACAAUACAGCAAUCAACAUGUUUUCUUUGAACAUGUUCAUGCUUACAAUUGUUAUCACCACUAUACCAACUUGUGUUACUUUUUUCUAACUUGGUAUAGUCCUAAUUCCCCAUGUAUAAUUGUGUGUAUAUAAAUAAGAAUGUUUGAAUGUGCCUGAAAAUAUACAUCACUUCCUCAGGUUACAAAAUACAAAUCAUUAUAAAUGCACCUCUUUUUUUUUUUUUUUUUUUUUUUUUUUUUUUUUUUUUGUAUAAAU